CACAGGGUUAUAAAACAACACAUUCCUGCAGAGGGAGCUGGUAGGAACGUUGGGUUGCUCGGUCAAUGGCCAGGGUCAACGGCGGUGUGGUGUAUUCUGCAAAUAUGGCCGACUGUGAGGGCGGGCACAAGCUGGCAUGAGCCAUCCAACUUCAAACAGAAUCUACUCCUUCCCAACAACAUGGACAGCCAAAUCAAGUGGGCUGAGAUCUUGGAUGACUGAGGGAAUCGUCGUGCCAGUCGACCACGUGCAGGGACAUGGAUAAGGUGGACCCUUUCCCAGGCCAAAGUUGCUACAAGCAUCACUCCCCAAAGAGGAUAUUUGGGGAGGUGAAGGACUUCAGCGGGGUGAAGCGUCUCAAGGAGGAGAAGGACCUUGCCACGGAGAAACGCCUCGUGGUAGAGGAGCACCUCUUUGAAAUGCAGCGCCUUGCCAGGGUGGAGUGCCGCACAGAGGAGAAGUGCCUCAGAGACGAUCUCCACCAGCAGCGCCUCAUUAAAGUGAAGUGCUUCACGGAUGAGAAGCGUCUUGUUCUCCCCGUGGCCGCAUGGAUUUUUCUCUGGGUCCUUCGGUUUUUCCCUCCACAUUCAGAAACAUGUGUUUAAGAGUAUUUGGCUGCUAUAAAUUUCUGCGUAACAAGCCAAUUCAUGGGUAUUUCAUUUGUGGCCAGG